UGCUAUACAUGCAAGUCGAGCGAACAGAUGAGAAGCUUGCUUCUCUGAUGUUAGCGGCGGACGGGUGAGUAACACGUGGGUAACCUACCUAUAAGACUGGGAUAACUCCGGGAAACCGGGGCUAAUACCGGAUAAUAUUUUGAACCGCAUGGUUCAAUAGUGAAAGACGGUUUCGGCUGUCACUUAUAGAUGGACCCGCGCCGUAUUAGCUAGUUGGUAAGGUAACGGCUUACCAAGGCGACGAUACGUAGCCGACCUGAGAGGGUGAUCGGCCACACUGGAACUGAGACACGGUCCAGACUCCUACGGGAGGCAGCAGUAGGGAAUCUUCCGCAAUGGGCGAAAGCCUGACGGAGCAACGCCGCGUGAGUGAUGAAGGUCUUCGGAUCGUAAAACUCUGUUGUUAGGGAAGAACAAAUUUGUUAGUAACUGAACAAGUCUUGACGGUACCUAACCAGAAAGCCACGGCUAACUACGUGCCAGCAGCCGCGGUAAUACGUAGGUGGCAAGCGUUAUCCGGAAUUAUUGGGCGUAAAGCGCGCGUAGGCGGUUUCUUAAGUCUGAUGUGAAAGCCCACGGCUCAACCGUGGAGGGUCAUUGGAAAACUGGGAAACUUGAGUGCAGAAGAGGAGAGUGGAAUUCCAUGUGUAGCGGUGAAAAUGCGCAGAGAUAUGGAGGAACACCAGUGGCGAAGGCGGCUCUCUGGUCUGUAACUGACGCUGAUGUGCGAAAGCGUGGGGAUCAAACAGGAUUAGAUACCCUGGUAGUCCACGCCGUAAACGAUGAGUGCUAAGUGUUAGGGGGUUUCCGCCCCUUAGUGCUGCAGCUAACGCAUUAAGCACUCCGCCUGGGGAGUACGACCGCAAGGUUGAAACUCAAAGGAAUUGACGGGGACCCGCACAAGCGGUGGAGCAUGUGGUUUAAUUCGAAGCAACGCGAAGAACCUUACCAAAUCUUGACAUCCUUUGACCGCUCUAGAGAUAGAGUCUUCCCCUUCGGGGGACAAAGUGACAGGGGGUGCAUGGGUUGUCGUCAGCUCGUGUCGUGAGAAUGUUGGGUUAAGUCCCGCAACGAGCGCAACCCUUAAGCUAGGUUGCAAUCAAUAGGUUGGGCACUCUAGGUUGACUGCCGGUGACAAACCGGAGGAAGGUGGGGAUGACGUCAAAUCAUCAUGCCCCUUAUGAUUUGGGCUACACACGUGCUACAAUGGAUAAUACAAAGGGCAGCGAAUCCGCGAGGCCAAGCAAAUCCCAUAAAAUUAUUCUCAGUUCGGAUUGUAGUCUGCAACUCGACUACAUGAAGCUGGAAUCGCUAGUAAUCGUAGAUCAGCAUGCUACGGUGAAUACGUUCCCGGGUCUUGUACACACCGCCCGUCACACCACGAGAGUUUGUAACACCCGAAGCCGGUGGAGUAACCUUUUAGGAGCUAGCCGUCGAAGGG
rnacentral:rRNA from 2 species